GGCGCUGCUGUUUGGGCGGGAAAAGGGAAUCAGGUGCAAGUCCUGAGCGAUCCGGUCACUGUAAACAGGGAGCAUCCCCCGCAUAAUCCAUUGUACGGAGAGUCCGUAUGAGAAGGAAGGGGAAGAUGUGUCGAUCUGUAAGCCAGGAAACCUGCUUAAUGCU
rnacentral:ncRNA from 1 species